rnacentral:misc_RNA from 1 species
GAUGAAGAACGUAGCGAAAUGCGAUAAGUAAUGUGAAUUGCAGAAUUCAGUGAAUCAUCGAAUCUUUGAACGCACAUUGCGCCCCUUGGUAUUCCGAGGGGCAUGCCUGUUCGAGCGUCAUUAUAACCCUUCAAGCUCAGCUUGGUGUUGGGGCCUGCUGUAACUGGCAGCCCUUAAAAUCAGUGGCAGUGUCAUUAGGCUCUAAGCGUAGUAAUACUCCUCGCGAUUGAGUCCGGUAGGUUUACUUGCCAGCAACCCCCAAUUUUUACAGGUUGACCUCGGAUCAGGUAGGGAUACCCGCUGAACUUAAGCAUAUCAAUAAGCGGAGGA